rnacentral:rRNA from 1 species
AGUCGAGCGAACAGACGAGGAGCUUGCUCCUCUGACGUUAGCGGCGGACGGGUGAGUAACACGUGGAUAACCUACCUAUAAGACUGGGAUAACUUCGGGAAACCGGAGCUAAUACCGGAUAAUAUAUUGAACCGCAUGGUUCAAUAGUGAAAGACGGUUCUGCUGUCACUUAUAGAUGGAUCCGCGCCGCAUUAGCUAGUUGGUAAGGUAACGGCUUACCAAGGCAACGAUGCGUAGCCGACCUGAGAGGGUGAUCGGCCACACUGGAACUGAGACACGGUCCAGACUCCUACGGGAGGCAGCAGUAGGGAAUCUUCCGCAAUGGGCGAAGGCCUGACGGAGCAACGCCGCGUGAGUGAUGAAGGUCUUCGGAUCGUAAAACUCUGUUAUUAGGGAAGAACAAAUGUGUAAGUAACUAUGCACGUCUUGACGGUACCUAAUCAGAAAGCCACGGCUAACUACGUGCCAGCAGCCGCGGUAAUACGUAGGUGGCAAGCGUUAUCCGGAAUUAUUGGGCGUAAAGCGCGCGUAGGCGGUUUUUAAGUCUGAUGUGAAAGCCCACGGCUCAACCGUGGAGGGUCAUUGGAAACUGGAAAACUUGAGUGCAGAAGAGGAAAGUGGAAUUCCAUGUGUAGCGGUGAAAUGCGCAGAGAUAUGGAGGAACACCAGUGGCGAAGGCGACU